rnacentral:rRNA from 1 species
UGCAAGUCGAACGGGAGACUCAUUUCGGUGAGUUGAGAGUGGCGGACGGGUGAGUAACACGUAGGUGACCUGCCCUCAAGCGGGGGACAACCCGGUGAAAACCGAGCUAAUACCCCAUAAGCCCACGAGGCUUAGAAACUCGCGGGAAAAGGGAGCAAUCUCACUUGAGGAGGGGCCUGCGGCCCAUCAGAUAGUUGGCGAGGUAACGGCUCACCAAGUCAGUGACGGGUAGGGGGCCUGAGAGGGUGACCCCCCACAUGGGGACUGAGACACGGCCCCAACUCCUACGGGAGGCAGCAGUAAGGGAUAUUGCGCAAUGGGCGAAAGCCUGACGCAGCAACGCCGCGUGGACGAUGAAGGCUUUCGGGUCGUAAAGUCCUUUUCGAGCCGAAGAAGCUACCUUCGGGUAGUUGACCGUAAGCUCGGAAUAAGUGUCGGCUAACUACGUGCCAGCAGCCGCGGUAAAACGUAGGACGCGAGCGUUAUCCGGAGUUACUGGGCGUAAAGCGCGGGCAGGCGGUAGUUCAAGUGGGAUGUGAAAGCGCCCGGCUUAACCGGGCGAGGCCAUUCCAAACUGGACGACUGGAGGGCAGUAGAGGUAGGUAGAAUUCCGGGUGGAGUGGUGAAAUGCGUAGAGAUCCGGAGGAAUACCAGAGGCGAAGGCGGCCUACUGGGCUGCACCUGACGCUGAGCCGCGAAAGCCAGGGGAGCGAACGGGAUUAGAAACCCCGGUAGUCCUGGCCGUAAACGAUGUCUACUGGGUGCUGGGGUCGAAGGAUUUCAGCGCCGGAGCUAACGCGAUAAGUAGACCGCCUGGGGAGUACGGUCGCAAGGCUAAAACUCAAAGGAAUUGACGGGGGCCCGCACAAGCAGCGGAGCGUGUGGUUUAAUUCGAGGCAACGCGAAGAACCUUACCUA